GAUGAACGCUGGCGGUGUGCCUAAUACAUGCAAGUCGAGCGAACAGACGAGGAGCUUGCUCCUCUGACGUUAGCGGCGGACGGGUGAGUAACACGUGGAUAACCUACCUAUAAGACUGGGAUAACCUCGGGAAACCGGAGCUAAUACCGGAUAAUAUAUUGAACCGCAUGGUUCAAUAGUGAAAGACGGUUUUGCUGUCACUUAUAGAUGGAUCCGCGCCGCAUUAGCUAGUUGGUAAGGUAACGGCUUACCAAGGCAACGAUGCGUAGCCGACCUGAGAGGGUGAUCGGCCACACUGGAACUGAGACACGGUCCAGACUCCUACGGGAGGCAGCAGUAGGGAAUCUUCCGCAAUGGGCGAAAGCCUGACGGAGCAACGCCGCGUGAGUGAUGAAGGUCUUCGGAUCGUAAAACUCUGUUAUUAGGGAAGAACAAAUGUGUAAGUAACUAUGCACGUAUUGACGGUACCUAAUCAGAAAGCCACGGCUAACUACGUG
rnacentral:rRNA from 1 species